GCCUACAGGCCCAUAGAUGAGGAUGGCAAUCAGGCCAUGCAAUAUUGGCCCUUUUCUUCAGCCAACUUGUACAACUGUAAGGCCCAACACCCCCCUUUUCAGAUAACUCCAAGGGGCUGAUUAAUCUCAGACUGUUUUAUUUACUCAUCAGCCCACCUGGGAUGAUAUCCAACAACUCAUGGGAGUGCUCUUCAUGACCGAAGAGUGAGAGAGGAUAAUGCAGGAAGCCAGAAAGAACGUCCCCUCAGACACAGGGGCACCAUCGAUUGAUCAGACUGUCAUCGACAGCGAGUUUCCCCUGACUAGACCUGGCUGGGACUUUAAUGUGCAAGGAGAUUUGCAGGUCUUACAGAUAAAGUUCUCCCAGACAGGGUUUUCUAUAACAAUCAUCAUUCUCUGAGGACAAAUAACAGGGAGUCAGCUAGAACUGCAUUGGUCCCAAAGCAGAAGAGGGAACAACUGUUCAAGCCAUGUUUGCUGUCCAGUGUUCUAUUGCUGUCAAGAGACACCAUGACCACAGCAACUCUUAUAAAGGAAAACAUUUAACUGGGGCUGGCUUACAGUUUCAGAGGUUCAGUCCACUAUCAUCCUGGUGGGAAGUAUGGCAGCAUGAAGACAUGGUGCUGGAGAAGGGGCUGAGUGUUCUAUACCAGAAUCUACAGCAGCAAGAAGAAAGGUUAUGAGCCUGGGUUGGACUACUGAAACUCUGGAAACACAGUUCCAACGACACAAAGCCACUCCCUUCAAAUCCUCUUCAAGUAGCUCCACUCUCUGAUAAGCAAACAUUCACAUAUAUGAGUUUAUGGAGCCAUUCUUACUCAAACCACCACAUUUGCAAAGACCUGGAGCAAAUGGAACAAUUGUUACAGUCACUGUCCAGAGGAGAGAAAUAAUCCAGAAAGGUCAUAAAAGAAAACCUUGGGUAUCAACUCUUCCCUUCCAAUUUAUUUGAAACAGGGUCUCCCCUCUCUCCCUCUCUCCCUCUCUCCCUCUCUCCCUCUCUCCCUCUCCCUCCUUCCCUCUCUCUCCUCUCCUCUCC
ensembl:lncRNA